rnacentral:lncRNA from 1 species
UUUUGACAUUGCUUGUAACCUCCGAUAGUACGUGAGACGACCGCCACAACGAACGAUAAAAAGGAAAGUGAAGUGCACAGCAGAACGUGUUUUUGAUCAUUACAAGAGAGUGUCAGCGAACUGUGUCGAAGAAAAGAAAGCGUGAACUGUUUCGGCGCUGUGUGCACUGGUCAAUUCCACGAAUCAUAAUGUCAGACUUGAAAAAAGAAAACGAUGCAUGCCGUAAUGAUCCUAGAAUGCAAAGAUCCCACCAGGUUGAAUGAAGAUGCAUUUAUUAUAAAUGAAUUUUUAUGGUACAUAAUGAAAAUGGCACAUAUGUACACUGUUUCCUUGAAUGUAUUGCAGUGCGACGCACACGCAUACACACGCUGAUACAGAAUGCGCCUGUACAAAUACACAUUGAUAUAUAAAUUGGGCUCAGUGAAUCACAAUGAAACAAGUAACUGAGACGACACACGUGUGUUUAAAAAGAAACAACAGAAUAUGCAUGUGCUGCCGCUUGUAAUUAAGCGGCGCUCACAAUGGGAAGAAAUGCCACUAAGCACACGCGUUAAAGCCGCGCACCCUGAUCAUGCGACACGAUGGCGCAGAACUUCGCGACAGACGGAAAGUGAGAACAUCAGUCCGACCGGCGGCUGACGUCAGACACGCACGUCCGUUGAGGUCUCUUCUCUCGAAACCUGCAUAACUGUUUUAUAUAUAUUUUUUACGAACAUGAUCAGGCUCCCAUGCUUUCCGAUACUUUCUGCAUUACAAUAGUGGCCGCAACGGUCCCUGCGGGUUUCCAACGCGCCAUAUCAGCAUUCCGACAAGCCCGUCACGAGUGAAAUGUGCCGCAAACCCUCAUUGUUGCCUUCAGCAUCACGAAUAGCGUAGAAGCAGUCUUUCAUCAGAGAGAGAGAGAGAGA